GGAAGAGUUGCUGCUGUGAGGAGCUACAUAUGAGACAUCACCAAGAAGGGGGUCCUGUAAGGAACAAAGAGUUGGAUGUCAUGAUCCUUGCAGGUCUCUUCAAACUUGAGAAGUAAUACUUUACUGGGAUGACUUCGGUUCCAUUUUUGCAAGUUUUUCUGUAGGUGGGAAAUACUUGCUCAGGCAAAUAACUGGGAACCACAAGUCAUGUCAACUAUGACCCUGAUUUGAUCAAGAGGGUGUUUUGCUAGAAAUUUAUGAAUGGUGUUUUCAGAUUUAAAUGAAAUUCAGAACAAGGAUGCCUCUCCCUGUAUAUAAUGAGACCAACAAACAUGGGCCAUAAAACAGGCAUUAGAAGACUCCUGGUUGAUGAUGAUGAUGUUUCAUUUUGAAGAAAUCCCAUCAAAGUGAGAAUCAACAGGAUCUGGUACUAAAUAUCAUCUUCCCACAAAGAUGGGUGGGUUGACCAGCCAAGACUAUUCUGUUUGGUUCAGAUGUUUUGGGUGCAUGUGGUGUAUUGAGUAGUUAUCAAUGUGCAUUUAUGUUUUACAUGCAUAAGCUUUGAUUGGGGUUUUUUAAUCCACCAUUUAAAUAAACAAAUUCUCUCUCAUAAUAUGCAUAGCACUGUUUCCACUUCUAUGAAUAUGGAUACUAUCUCUAUUUUACAAAUAAAUCAUAACUUCUACAUUAAGAAAGGAGUAGUAUAACAUUGAUUGUUUAUAUGCAGGCAGAAAUACCUUAUCUGUUUUUUUGUUUUUAUUAUAAUGUUGUUUGUAAAGCUCUGGAGAUUGUAAAGCUAAUUUCAUUGUUGUUAAACUCCUGGAUAAUCUGUUCUGUGACUUUGUGCAUUGCUGAUAUACAACAUUCAGAAUAUUUUUCUAUGUUGAAGGCUGGUGUUUAGUCUUGCUUUCCCUAAAGCUUGUUAUAAUUUAUCCUGCUCAUUCAGCUGCAAGGUUCAAACCCUGUCCACUGAAUUUCCUUAAUUUCCCAUGUCUUUACUUGCCUGAAACUGUUGUCAUACAACUUUCUAAUCUUAUUUAAGUGACAUCACUUGUUUUUAGCUUAGAAAUCCAAAAUUUGAUCAUUUGUGAAUGAACAUUUGUAGCUCCUUUUGUUUUACGGUGUGGUGUUUAGGAUUUAGGAAACUGAAAAGUAGAAGUGCAAGGGUGAAGGAAAAUGGGAAGAAUGUGGAAAAUAAUAGACGACAGUAUGGUAUUUCUGGCCAAGCUUUAUUAUAAAAUUAUUUUUUGGAAAGCUAAAUGAAAUGGAUUUGUCUUGGUCAUCUGUGCAAAGGAAAGUAGGAGACAGGAGAAUAAGAAAUUUCUUUACUUGACUGUGCAGGCAUUACCUCAUCACCAGCCCUGUCAGGCAGAUGUAAGCCAUGGAAUCAUUCUUUCUUCCACCUAUAAGGGAAUAGACAAGCCAUAGAAUCAUAUCAAUCUGAAGGGCUGAGGUGACAAGGAAGAGGUCAAGAUGCACUAGGAUACAUAAUGGUGUGAACUGGAAGUUGUCCUUGUAUACUGGGAUAAAACUAUAGCUAGGGGUAAAGUAGACAUUGCAUCCAUGAAAUUAUUCCCAAGAAAGAAAUGUCCCUGAGCAAAGAGGCUCUUAUGUCACCACUACACCUGUUUGGGCAACAAUGGCCUAGAAAAAACCUCUUCUGAAAUGAAACCCUGCAUGGUAGAAACAGUAAAGGUUCAAUCAGGUGCUCCGAUUCCAGUGCUGAAUUUUUGAAAACUGAAGGCUGAUCUGGGCUUGCAGACACGCACACGGCUGCAUCUGUGCACACAAAUCUGGUAUUUAUAUAAGAUAUCAUUCCAUAUGUGCUUGUCUUUAGGAGGCAGAAGUCAGUCUGCAAGAAUAUAUUCCUUAAAACCAUUUUACAAUAUACAGCUUCUUGGAAAGAAUGAUGGUUUCUAAUAUUUUUUUCAAGCUAAACAUUUACUUAACAUCCUUUGCUAAAAUGGUCUUUAAAAAAUUUUGUGGUGAGAUUGUCACUGUCACUAGAUUCUGAUUUAACUCCACAACCAGACUGCAAAGUAAUAGUUUGAGAAGAUGGACUUUGUAAUCUGACAGUGCAGAAAAGAUGAAGUUAUAGUGGUGCUUCUAAAAUGGAAAAUAGUAGUUGUUUCACUUUGUUUAUCACAAAUAUAUGUUUAAUGCCAUGCCCAGAUUUAUGACAAUAUCUUUGCUGUCAGGUUGUUUUGUAAUGGCCAGAAUAUUUCCUGUCAUAUUUCACCUUUAAUUUGAAUGGCAAUCACUGCUGACUGUGCUUCUAUUUCUUUCCAGAAAAUUAUGUCUGCAAAGAGCUUUGAGUUUUGCACUUCACUAAAAAGGCAGGGGCUUUCUGUGCUAUCAUCAUAAUUUGCCAGAUGACCAGAAAUGACUCCCAGUAAGGGUUGAAGAGUUAUCCCUGUUCAGUCCUUGGAGCUUUUUGAUUGAAUUGAAGUUACAAGCUAUAUAAACAUGAGCUAUAAAAUAUUUUUUAGGUAGGAGCUCUUACUGGUGUAUCUUAGCAUCUCUUAAAGAGAUUAGGCUAUGGCUUUGGAGCUCGCCAUUGGCCUGUGUAGAAACUUCUGGACCCCUUUUGUGUCUCAGUCAUGCAUCCUAUCUGGAAAAGCCUGUGCUGGAAGCCAGAGGAAGAUGAUACUUCUGUCUGAAUCUCUCAUCUUAGGAUAAAUCUUUUCUGUCUUUUAUCAGUUCAUACUAUGUUUAUGUAAUACUCUAUUUAUGAGAAAUAAGUUAUAAUAUUUUUGAAGAACAGACAUACAAACUGCAAUUACUACACCUUCUACCUAUUCCAACUUCUCUUCCCAUUGUAUUCAAGCUGAUCUAGGUAAAUAAAAAAAUCAAUAAGAUCCAAUACUCUCAAGUGCUUUGCUGCCUGUAUAUGCUAACAGCAGCAAUGCCUGCCUUUUGUAUCGUAACGCCUCUCGUUGCUCAGUUGGUAAGGAACAUGUGUGAGAAUGGCCAUGCAAAAGUGACUUGUUAUUGAACUCCUGAACUAAAAUGCCACCAGCAGCUACAGAGGUUGCACCAGGUGAAACAGCAAAGCAGAGCACCAGGAAGGACGUGAUGCAUGGGGUGAGCCUUACAUGACAACAUUUACAACCAGCAGGCUUUUUGAGAAAGCAAAUUGCUGGUGGAAUGUUCUGUCUUGUGUUA